CGCUGGCGGNAUGCUUUACACAUGCAAGUCGAGCGGCAGCGCGGGGCAACCUGGCGGCGAGCGGCGAACGGGUGAGUAAUGCAUCGGAACAUGUCCAUGUCGUGGGGGAUAGCCCGGCGAAAGCCGGAUUAAUACCGCAUAUGCCCGAGAGGGGAAAGUGGGGGACCGCAAGGCCUCACGCGAUUGGGUUGGCCGAUGUCCGAUUAGCUAGUUGGCGGGGUAAAGGCCCACCAAGGCGAUGAUCGGUAGCUGGUCUGAGAGGAUGAUCAGCCACACUGGGACUGAGACACGGCCCAGACUCCUACGGGAGGCAGCAGUGGGGAAUUUUGGACAAUGGGGGAAACCCUGAUCCAGCCAUUCCGCGUGAGUGAAGAAGGCCUUCGGGUUGUAAAGCUCUUUUGUCCGGAACGAAACGGCGAGCGUGAAUAUCGCUCGCUACUGACGGUACCGGAAGAAUAAGCACCGGCUAACUACGUGCCAGCAGCCGCGGUAAUACGUAGGGUGCGAGCGUUAAUCGGAAUUACUGGGCGUAAAGCGUGCGCAGGCGGUUUUGUAAGCCAGAUGUGAAAUCCCCGGGCUUAACCUGGGAAUGGCAUUUG
rnacentral:rRNA from 1 species